rnacentral:rRNA from 1 species
UACGUAGGGUGCAAGCGUUAAUCGGAAUUACUGGGCGUAAAGCGUGCGCAGGCGGUUUUGUAAGGCUGUCGUGAAAUCCCCGGGCUUAACCUGGGAAUGGCGAUGGUGACUGCAAGGCUAGAGUUUGGCAGAGGGGGGUAGAAUUCCACGUGUAGCAGUGAAAUGCGUAGAGAUGCGGAGGAACACCGAUGGCGAAGGCAGCCCCCUGGGCUAACACUGACGCUCAGGCACGAAAGCGUGGGGAGCAAACAGG